UUCGUAGGUGGCCAACUAAGCCAGACGUGAAAUCCCUCAGCUUAACUGGGGAACUGCGUCUGGGACUGGAUGGCUUGAGUGCAGGAGAGGAACGCGGAAUUCCAGGUGUAGCGGUGAAAUGCGUAGAUAUCUGGAGGAACACCGGUGGCGAAGGCGGCGUUCUGGACUGCAACUGACACUGAGGAACGAAAGGCCAGGGAGGCAAACG
rnacentral:rRNA from 1 species